CCUACGGGUGGCAGCAGUGAGGAAUAUUGGUCAAUGGUCGGGAGACUGAACCAGCCAAGCCGCGUGAGGGAUGAAGGUACAGCGUAUCGUAAACCUCUUUUGUCAGGGAACAAAGGCGGGGACGUGUCCCCGGCUGCGUGUACCUGAAGAACAAGCCUCGGCUAACUCCGUGCCAGCAGCCGCGGUAAUACGGAGGAUGCGGGCGUUAUCCGGAUUUAUUGGGUGAAAAGGGUACGCGGGCGGUGUGUUCAGUCAGCGGUCAAAGCCCGGGGCUCAACCCCGGCCCGCCGUUGAAACUGGCAGUCUCGAGUUGGAGAGAAGUAGGCGGAAUGCGCGGUGUAGCGGUGAAAUGCAUAGAUAUCGCGCAGAACUCCGAUUGCGAAGGCAGCAUGCCGGAUCCACACUGACGCUGAGGCACGAAAGCGUGGGUAUCGAACAGGAUUAGAUACCCUUGUAGUC
rnacentral:rRNA from 1 species